CAUUGAAAGACCCGUUCCCUUACGAUCAUCGAAGUUAAGCAACAUCGAGCUGGUCAGUAUUUAGAUGAGUAACUGCUUGGGAAUACCAGCUGCU